rnacentral:rRNA from 1 species
AGUAGGGAAUAUUGGACAAUGGGUGCGAGCCUGAUCCAGCCAUGCCGCGUGCAGGAAGACGGCCUUCUGGGUUGUAAACUGCUUUUGCCAGGGGAUAAAAAGUCCCUGCGGGGAAAAUUGAAGGUACCUGGUGAAUAAGCCACGGCUAACUACGUGCCAGCAGCCGCGGUAAUACGUAGGUGGCAAGCGUUGUCCGGAUUUAUUGGGUUUAAAGGGUGCGUAGGUUGUUUUGUAAGUCAGUGGUGAAAUCCGGCAGCUCAACUGUCGAUGUGCCAUUGAUACUGCUGAACUUGAGUACAGACGAGGUAGGCGGAAUUGACGGUGUAGCGGUGAAAUGCUUAGAUAUCGUCAAGAACACCGAUAGCGAAGGCAGCUUACUAGACUGUAACUGACACUGAUGCACGAAAGUGUGGGGAUCAAA